AAAGGAAUUGACGGGGGCCCGCACAAGCGGAGGAACAUGUGGUUUAAUUCGAUGAUACGCGAGGAACCUUACCCGGGCUUGAAUUGCUGAGGAAGAGAUCCAGAGAUGGUGACGCCCUCCGGGGCCUCAGUGAAGGUGCUGCAUGGUUGUCGUCAGCUCGUGCCGUGAGGUGUCGGCUCAAGUGCCAUAACGAGCGCAACCCCUGCCGACAGUUGCCAUCGGGCGAAGCCGGGCACUCUGUCGGUACUGCCACCGCAAGGUGUGAGGAAGGUGGGGAUGACGUCAAAUCAGCACGGCCCUUACGUCCGGGGCCACACACGUGUUACAAUGGCCGGCACAGAGCGCCGGGGGUGCGCAAGCACUCUCCAAUCGCAAAAUCCGGCCCCAGUACGGACUGGGGUCUGCAACCCGACCCCACGAAGCUGGAUUCGCUAGUAAUCGCGCAUCAGCCAUGGCGCGGUGAAUACGUUCCCGGGCCUUGUACACACCGCCCGU
rnacentral:rRNA from 1 species